rnacentral:tRNA from 1 species
GGGCAAGUACAUCAGUGGUAGAUGGCUCCGUUCGCAUCGGAGAGGCCGGGGGUUCAAUUCCCCCCUUGUCCA